GACGAACGCUGGCGGCGUGCUUAACACAUGCAAGUCGAACGAGAGGACAAGAGAAGCUUGCUUCUUUUGGAAUCGAGUGGCAAACGGGUGAGUAACACGUAAACAACCUGCCUUCAGGAUGGGGACAACAGACGGAAACGACUGCUAAUACCGAAUACGCUUGGAAGACCGCAUGAUUUUCCAAGGAAAGGGUGGCCUCUACCUGUAAGCUAUCGCCUGAAGAGGGGUUUGCGUCUGAUUAGGCAGUUGGUGAGGUAACGGCCCACCAAACCUACGAUCAGUAGCCGGUCUGAGAGGAUGAACGGCCACACUGGAACUGAGACACGGUCCAGACUCCUACGGGAGGCAGCAGUGGGGAAUAUUGCACAAUGGGGGAAACCCUGAUGCAGCGACGCCGCGUGAGUGAAGAAGUAUUUCGGUAUGUAAAGCUCUAUCAGCAGGGAAGAAAGUGACGGUACCUGAAUAAGAGCCCCGGCUAACUACGUAGCCAGCAGCCG
rnacentral:rRNA from 1 species